UUACACAUGCAAGUCGAACGGCAGCACGGACUUCGGUCUGGUGGCGAGUGGCGAACGGGUGAGUAAUACAUCGGAACGUGCCUAGUACUGGGGGAUAACUACUCCAAAGAGUGGCUAAUACCGCAUGAGAUCUACGGAUGAAAGCAGGGGAUCGCAAGACCUUGUGCUACUAGAGCGGCUGAUGGCAGAUUAGGUAGUUGGUGGGAUAAAAGCUUACCAAGCCCACGAUCUGUAUCUGGUCUGAGAGGACGAUCANCCACACUGGGACUGAAACACGGCCCAGACUCCUACNGGAGGCAGCAGUGGGGAAUUUUGGACAAUGGGCGCGAGCCUGAUCCAGCAAUGCCGCGUGCAGGAUGAAGGCCUUCGGGUUGUAAACUGCUUUUGUACGGAACGAAAAGCUUUGGGUUAAUACCCUGGAGUCAUGACGGUACCGUAAGAAUAANCACCGGCUAACUACNUGCCAGCAGCCGGCGGUAAUAAAAAAUAAA
rnacentral:rRNA from 1 species